rnacentral:rRNA from 1 species
GAGGAAUAUUGGUCAAUGGGGGCAACCCUGAACCAGCCAAGUCGCGUGAAGGAUGAAGGUCUUAUGGAUUGUAAACUUCUUUUAUACAGGAAUAAAUUGGGGGACGUGUCCCCUUUUGCAUGUACUGUAUGAAUAAGGAUCGGCUAACUCCGUGCCAGCAGCCGCGGUAAUACGGAGGAUCCGAGCGUUAUUCGGAUUUAUUGGGUUUAAAGGGUGCGCAGGCGGGAUGUUAAGUCGGCGGUGAAAUUUUGCAGCUCAACUGUAAAAGUGCCUUCGAUACUGGCUUCCUUGAGUGUAGAUGAAGUAGGCGCAAUUUGUGGUGUAGCGGUGAAAUGCUUAGAUAUCACGAGGAACUCCGAUUGCGCAGGCAGCUUACUAAACUACAACUGACGCUCAUGCACGAAGGCGUGGGGAUCAAACA